rnacentral:rRNA from 1 species
GUGUCAGCAGCCGCGGUAAUACAGAGGGUGCGAGCGUUAAUCGGAGUUACUGGGCGUAAAGGGCGCGUAGGCGGUUUGAUAAGUAAGAUGUGAAAUCCCCGGGCUUAACCUGGGAACAGCAUCUUAAACUAUAAGACUGGAGUGCAGUAGAGGGUGGUGGAAUUUCCGGUGUAGCGGUGAAAUGCGUAGAGAUCGGAAGGAACAUCAGUGGCGAAGGCGACCACCUGGACUGAGACUGACGCUGAGGCGCGAGAGCGUGGGGAGCAAACAGGAUUAGAUACCCUGGUAGUCC